rnacentral:rRNA from 1 species
UACGUAGGGUGCAAGCGUUGUCCGGAAUUAUUGGGCGUAAAGAGCUUGUAGGCGGUUUGUCGCGUCUGCUGUGAAAUUUCGGGGCUCAACCCCGAACUUGCAGUGGGUACGGGCAGACUAGAGUGUGGUAGGGGAGACUGGAAUUCCUGGUGUAGCGGUGAAAUGCGCAGAUAUCAGGAGGAACACCGAUGGCGAAGGCAGGUCUCUGGGCCACUACUGACGCUGAAAAGCGAAAGCAUGGGGGAGCGAACAGG